rnacentral:tRNA from 1 species
GCCCCCAUCGUCUAGGUAGGCCCAGGACGCCGGUCUUUCAAGCCGGUAACGCGGGUUCGAAUCCCGCUGGGGGCACCA